rnacentral:rRNA from 1 species
AACCUCCGCUAUGUACGAAAGUGCGACGGGGGGAUCCCAAGUGUUAUGCUUUUUUGUAUAACUUUUCAUUAGUGUAAAAAGCUUUUGGAAUAAGAGCUGGGCAAGACCGGUGCCAGCCGCCGCGGUAACACCGGCAGCUCUAGUGGUAGCUGUUUUUAUUGGGCCUAAAGCGUUCGUAGCCGGUUUGAUAAGUCACUGGUGAAAUCCUGUAGCUUAACUGUGGGAAUUGCUGGUGAUACUGUUGAACUUGAGGUCGGGAGAGGUUAGCGGUACUCCCAGGGUAGAGGUGAAAUUCUGUAAUCCUGGGAGGACCACCUGUGGCGAAGGCGGCUAACUGGAACGGUUCUGACGGUGAGGGACGAAAGUUAGGGGCGCGAACCGGAUUAGAUACCCGGGUAGUCCUAACUGUAAACGAUGCGGACUUGGUGUUGGGUGGCUUUGAGCUGCUCCAGUGCCGAAGGGAAGCUGUUAAGUCCGCCGCCUGGGAAGUACGGUCGCAAGACUGAAACUUAAGGAAUU